rnacentral:rRNA from 1 species
UUCGUAGGCGGUCUGCCAAGUCAGAGGUGAAAUCUAACGGCUUAACCGUUAACCUGCCUUUGAAACUGGCAGACUUGAGUAUUGGAGAGGAAAGCGGAAUUCUUGGUGUAGCGGUGAAAUGCGUGGAUAUCAAGAGGAACACCCGUGGCGAAGGCGGCUUUCUGGCCAAAUACUGACGCUGAGGAACGAAAGCUAGGGGAGCAAACG